UACGGAGGGUGCGGGCGUUAUCCGGAUUCACUGGGUUUAAAGGGUGCGUAGGUGGGAAUGUAAGUCAGUGGUGAAAUCUCCGUGCUUAACACGGAAACUGCCAUUGAUACUAUGUUUCUUGAAUUUUCUGGAGGUUAGCGGAAUAUGUCAUGUAGCGGUGAAAUGCUUAGAUAUGACAUAGAACACCGAUUGCGAAGGCAGCUAACUACACAGUUAUUGACACUGAGGCACGAAAGCGUGGGGAGCAAACAGG
rnacentral:rRNA from 1 species